AAGUCGUAACAAGGUUUCCGUAGGUGAACCUGCGGAAGGAUCAUUAAUGAAUUUAAGGAUGCUCUUUUUAGAGAUCCGAACACUCAUUACCUUUCUACACUGUGCACACACUACUUUUUACACCCAAUUUUUUAACACUAUUAGUAUUAAGAAUGUAAAUCAGUCUCUUAAUUGAGCAUAAAACAAAUAAAACUUUCAGCAACGGAUCUCUUGGCUCUC
rnacentral:misc_RNA from 1 species